GGUAAAAUGGCUGAGAUAAAGCAUUAGACUGUAAAUCUAAACACAGAGGGUCUUUCCCUCUUUUUGCCA
rnacentral:tRNA from 1 species